UCAUAGUUGAUUGCAGGGAAAUGCAUAAAUUUACUGCAAAAUAUGAAAAUAGGCAAAAUGUGCAAAUGAGGUAAUUUUUUUUAUUGUUUUACUUAUUAUUUACAAGGUAAUAUCAACUUUUUAUAUAAUUCUCUCUUGAAUUUUCUCUUUGUCUCUUUUUAUAAGACUCUCUUAAACUUUCAUAGUUGGGCAUGGUGUUAUUUACGUAAUAAAUGUUUCAUUUUUUUUAUAUACAUCAUUGAGAUAUUUAUUAAGACUCUCUUAAACUUUCAUAGUUGGGCAUGGUGUUAUUUACGUAAUAAAUGUUUCAUUUUUCUAUAUACAUCAUUGAGAUAUUUAUUCCAUAUUUAAAAUGCCAAUAUUUUAUUUAAAUCUCAAGUAUAUGAUAUUUUUUGGUGUCUGAUUUCUUUUUUCUGAGAAUAUUUUGACUAUAAUGAGUAGAAAUAAAUUGACGUGGCCUCUGUGUAAAAUACUGUGUUUGUGAUCAAGAUAAUGUAACAUUCAUCUUUUUUAACAUAAGUUUGUACAUUUCCAUGCAACGUAAAGAGAUCCGACUUCUCCUUGUUCGAAGCAUGUGAUCUCGACCAUCUUGUUGACAUAUUUUCUCAUUGAAUAGAAUUGUUCAACAAAUAUCCCUUCUAGCUCUGCCCAUAUACUAAUGACACUACUCGAUAAAGCUUUAAACUAAUCAUUUGUUCCAUCUAUUAGUGUUAACGAGAACAACCUAAGCUUAUUUUGGUCUUUAAUUAUCCCAGUUGGACAAUGAAGCAAAUAAAUCUCUUUGAACUUGACAAGAUACUAAUAAGGGUCUAUCGUCGACCCUAUUUCAAACUAAGUGUCUCUCAAAUCUGGAAGCACAAAAUUUUUAAUGUCAAAAGAAAAUGGAUUUUCUGGUUGGAGACCAUGAGUAAUCUUCCAUUCAAUUAACCACCACCCCUAUCUCCUAUAGCAUGUCUAGGUGGGCUUGGUUGAGGUGUUCCAUGACCAUACAUAUAUACUCACAACUUUGCUACUUCCUCUAUUUGUUUAGAUAACCGCGCUGCCUUCCGAAGUUCUUUGGCGGUAUUUUCUAUUUAUGGGUCAGACUACAAGUUAUUUGAACCUACAUUUCCCACAAACUAAACAAAAAUAUACCUUAUAGCCCCAUAGCAAUGAUAAAUAAACAAUUAAAAAUUAAUAAAAAUAAAAUUAAAUGGCAACUAAAAACAUGUAAAAUUGCAUAAACAAUCUUGUUAAGAUCAGUCAACAAUUUCCAACAACGACUUCAUUUUGUUGCGUGCGAAAACUUUGCAAUUCUGUAUAGUAUUUAUGUCCCCAAAAAACACAUGAUGAUGGGUAUAAUUUUUAUCGUCUUCGCAGAUAUUAGUAUAAUUUUAACACAACAAAAGGAAAUCAUAUGUAUAUCUAGAAAACUAAAUAACAUACCACAAAUACGAGGAAACACAUAAUGUAUUAAGUGGUUUAUGAAGUUUCAUAUUUCUACUACAUCAAAGGGGGGACUAUGCAUAUCUUUGCUAUAUGGUUUAUUACUUAGCCUUUAAGCUUUAUUUUGGUUUUAGUUUACAACUUUGAUUCUCCUUUUCAAUUGUGCAUUUUUAGAUUGAGUUUUAGUUCAGUAUAUUUUAGCAUGCAUAACUCUUUAUUUUUUAGUGUGAGCAAUAUGCUUUAAGUCACUUCGUCGAUUUUUUGGACCAAGAACCAUAUUUGAGAUUGGUUCAAGUCAUAACAUCAUUGGAAUCUCAAAACAUGUUUAAAAUUGUAAAAAUUAAGAUUUUAGGUGUGUGAUUCGAAUCACACAUCUUGUGAGUCAAGUCAAAUGAACUAGAGGACAUUCAUGAAGUUUGUGACUCGAAUCACAUGUUGUACAUGUCUCAAAUCAUAGAACCCUGUGAGUUAAAUCACAUAUUACUCACGUCUCGAUUCAUGAGGUGAUGAAACUCCAUGAUUUUUCCCUACCUUUUUUUAGUCGAAUCACAUUGUUCAUGACUCAAAUCAUACAUUUUAUCUGGACUCGAAACACGGGUGAAAUCAUAGAAAUGAGUUUUCCAUAUUAGAUCUUGAUUCAAACAACUCUGACAAUUGACUCAAAUCAUACAAGUGCUCAUGACUUGAUUAAUCUUUUGCAAACACUUACAAACAAUUUAUUUCAUCUUCAACGUCAUUCUUUUUUCAUUGUUGCAUGAAUCUGAAUCUCAUCUUUGAAGAUUCAUGAUUAUUGAGGAGAUUCAUGUUUGAAUUUAAUAUUUCUUUGAAGAUUUGAUUAAUAUUUCAGUGGUUCACAAGGUGUAUGGUGUUGUGAAUGGGUUUAACAAUUCCAAUGGAAAAGAAUGAGAUUCUUCUCUCCAGACGAACCUUGGUAGUGUUAUUUGGAAUCCUAUAGGCAUGGUAGGAAUUAUUCUCAAUCUUUGAACAUACCAACACUCAAGAUAUCGAUGGGAUUGAGUAAAGAUUGUUGCAUAAUGAAGACUUAGGAGCAAGUUAGUGGGGCUGAAAGAUUCAAGAAGCGUUUUCAAGUAAAUAUUUCGCAUAAAGUUCAGCUCAUGGAUUGUGUAUAAGUCAAAGAUCCAAAAAGAAUAAUUUUAUUUUUUCAACGUUGAAUUGAAUGUUGUGAUUCAACGAACUCUUGUAAUUUUGUAACAAAUAUUAUUGAACGGUCAAAAAUUUUCAAUGGGCAACUAUUGGAGACUAGAAUAAGCGCAAAGCGAGGAUGAAAUUGUCAAACUAGUAUAAACUCUCUCUCUCCCCCCCUUUUAAUUUUCGUAGAACAUUGCAUGAUUAAAUUGUUCUUUAUUGUUUUCUAGAAAUUGCAUGCCAUUAGGAUUUAUUUUGGCAGAAAUUUAUUAUAAAGGUGUAGAUUUUUUUAGAAUUGAUACUUUGAGUUUCUCUUGUUGUAGAUUAAACUAAAAAACCGUGGUUGUAGAUUCCAUUAAGUGUCAUUGUUGUUAAAUCACACUUAUCUUGUAAUUUAGCAAUUUAUCAAUAUAUUUA
rnacentral:lncRNA from 1 species